rnacentral:rRNA from 1 species
GAUGAACGCUGGCGGCGUGCCUAAUACAUGCAAGUCGAGCGAACAGACGAGGAGCUUGCUCCUCUGACGUUAGCGGCGGACGGGUGAGUAACACGUGGAUAACCUACCUAUAAGACUGGGAUAACUUCGGGAAACCGGAGCUAAUACCGGAUAAUAUAUUGAACCGCAUGGUUCAAUAGUGAAAAACGGUUUUGCUGUCACUUAUAGAUGGAUCCGCGCCGCAUUAGCUAGUUGGUAGGGUAACGGCUUACCAAGGCAACGAUGCGUAGCCGACCUGAGAGGGUGAUCGGCCACACUGGAACUGAGACACGGUCCAGACUCCUACGGGAGGCAGCAGUAGGGAAUCUUCCGCAAUGGGCGAAAGCCUGACGGAGCAACGCCGCGUGAGUGAUGAAGGUCUUCGGAUCGUAAAACUCUGUUAUUAGGGAAGAACAAAUGUGUAAGUAACUAUGCACGUCUUGACGGUACCUAAUCAGAAAGCCACGGCUAACUACGUG